rnacentral:lncRNA from 1 species
UGAUAACAAAUGAAACAUUUUAACAUAAGAUAUAUCAUACAAUUAUAUUGCUAGAGCAAGAACUCAUUUAUAUCAUUAGUAUGUUUCAGAUCCGUACACAAUAGCCUUUACGACACCUAAUAUUAAACCUCGGAGGUGCUGGACAAUCUUUAUCUUUUUCACAAGGAACGUCAUAAUACAUAAUUGUAGAAGAAUUACAUACUAUUAUGCCAAGAAAUAUGGAAUAAAAUAUAAUCAGAACAUAAACCAACUUUAAAGUUUCA